CUGUGGAUGCUGCAUCUGUUUCUGCAUUAGCAGAGGAGGCUCAUAACACUGAAGGUUUUGGACUGGCAUCCACAGUGUCAUCCACAGUGGAUGAGACCACCCUACCCUCUGAAGGAAACGAUGCUGCUCAACAAUGGGAUUCCAGAAGAAUAACGACCCUGUGUUAGCCCAGAGAACAGUGCAAAAUAUCAGAGAUGUUGUGAGACACCGAGGAACAGCUGCAAAGAGGCAGCCACAGAAGCAUUAGCUUUAAGUUCAUUUGCAGUUAUUCUCUUGUGUUGUAAUUUUUCUGUUGCCUUAAUGUUUCGUAACAGUCAGUUGAGUGCACUUGUUUUCAUUUGUCUGCCCACUUUUUCGCACUUUUCUUGGAUUUUGACUGUUAUGUGUUUUAAGUUUUGUAGACAGAUGUUUAAGUGCAAUUUUACUUUUUUCGGAUAAUAAACCAACUGUUCCAUUAAUGUUGUAUCCAGUCAGGUCUGGUGUAUGAGGUGGGUGUGUAUGUAUGCUAAUGAGGUACUGACAUCAUUGUCCCUUUCCCUUUAAAGUCCCCAUAGUGCUUUAUUUUGGUUCUUACAAGUCACAUAUUUGUCAAGAAGAGAAAUGUCUUCACAAACCACCAUAAUUUUAGGUAGGUGUGUAUAGAGUUACGUAGCUCGUACCUGAAACCUAAAGUGAGCUAAAAUUUUUUCAGAUUUUUUACAGCAUUUUAAUCCACCUCCCGUUGCUCUAGCACUUUGGGAAAGGGCAGCCGGCCUAAACCACCACCGGGCGGGUUUGUCGAAACUGUCCGUCUAGCCCUUAUAGACCAUGUGUGUGUGUCACUGAAGCAAAUACUGGAAACUACUUUUUCUUUUGAAAUCACUACGCCCAGAUGCCAUGUUUAGUAAGUA